ACACAUGCAAGUCGAACGAGAGAGAAGGAGCUUGCUUCUUCGAUCGAGUGGCGAACGGGUGAGUAACGCGUGAGGAACCUGCCUCAAAGAGGGGGACAACAGUUGGAAACGACUGCUAAUACCGCAUAAGCCCACGGGUCGGCAUCGACCUGAGGGAAAAGGAGCAAUCCGCUUUGAGAUGGCCUCGCGUCCGAUUAGCUAGUUGGUGAGGUAACGGCCCACCAAGGCGACGAUCGGUAGCCGGACUGAGAGGUUGAACGGCCACAUUGGGACUGAGACACGGCCCAGACUCCUACGGGAGGCAGCAGUGGGGAAUAUUGCACAAUGGGGGAAACCCUGAUGCAGCGACGCCGCGUGGAGGAAGAAGGUCUUCGGAUUGUAAACUCCUGUUGUUGAGGAAGAUAAUGACGGUACUCAACAAGGAAGUGACGGCUAACUACGUGCCAGCAGCCGCGGUAAAACGUAGGUCACAAGCGUUGUCCGGAAUUACUGGGUGUAAAGGGAGCGCAGGCGGGAAGACAAGUUGGAAGUGAAAUCUAUGGGCUUAACCCAUAAACUGCUUUCAAAACUGUUUUUCUUGAGUAGUGCAGAGGUAGGCGGAAUUCCCGGUGUAGCGGUGGAAUGCGUAGAUAUCGGGAGGAACACCAGUGGCGAAGGCGGCCUACUGGGCACCAACUGACGCUGAGGCUCGAAAGUGUGGGUAGCAAACAGGAUUAGAUACCCUGGUAGUCCACACCGUAAACGAUGAUUACUAGGUGUUGGAGGAUUGACCCCUUCAGUGCCGCAGUUAACACAAUAAGUAAUCCACCUGGGGAGUACGACCGCAAGGUUGAAACUCAA
rnacentral:rRNA from 1 species